rnacentral:lncRNA from 1 species
UGCUUUACUUGGCUGUGAAGUGCGCUGGAAGUAGGUCGGCAUGACUUUUGGUUCCAUAAUGGCGGAAGGUUUCAUUUAUUAAGUCAGUUUAUUUGGAAAAUACAGUUUCACUGAAGUGAAAAUGGUAUCCCGUGGUUUUCCCAGAAUCCAUCCAGUGUUUCUAGAGGGACAACAGUAAUGAAAAUCUGAAAGAUCCGCCAUUUGGGAAAAUAUUAAACCGUACCAUGUAGACCCUUCGACCACCUGGAAGGACACGAUUCCAGCCACGGCUACAGUCAAGUCAUUUGGGAACAAGCUUAUGGGAGGUUCCAGCUCCUGAUUUCCUGUACACCUGGACCUACAGGAGGUACAGUUUUGCACCACCACGGUGCUCAUUUUCCGGUAUGCGGCAGCAACCUUUUCAGAAGUCAGUUGGGUUUGUUUGGGAACAAUCAGUUUUGUGACUAUGAGUAACUAUUGUGGUUUAUAUUGCAGACAUUUGUUUGAUGUAUUAUGUUAAUAAUUAUUUUUUUCAGAUUUAGCUUGCAUUUAUUUGUUUUUUUACAUACACAAAAGUUAAUUACGUUGAGCUCGACGUAUUUGCCAAAAAGGUAUUAGGUUUUUAUAUUUUAUUGUUAAUUUAGGUCGAUUUCAUGUCAUUAUGUAAAUUUAGGUUGUAUUAUUUGCUUGUUUCCCAGAUAUUUUGUUGUCUAUUUGCUUUACUUCGUUUGUUCGAUCAAUUCAAGACGUUUGUUUAGAUUUUAUCGUAACUUCAAUCUAUUUCAUUCAUUUGUAUAUUUAACUUUGCUUAAUUCACUAUUGUAUAUUCUCUUAUUCAGGCUUUUGCCUAUUUAUUUAUAUUAGUCAUAUUUUUCGGGUUUUACUUUAUUUGUACGUAGCAAGCGUACUAUAACCAUUUGGUAGUCUCAUGUUGUAACAUUGAAUAUUCCCCAAUCAUGGUGGGCGGCAUUUUAUGAAAGGUGCCCCAAAAAGAGGGUGUAAUUUUUGAAAUUUGACAAGAUGUUAAUAUGUCAUAUAGGGGGAUGUUACAUAAUGAAGAACAUGGCCGCGGUCGCUAGUGUCUCAGAGCUUUGAAAAGGGGUGGAUUCUUAGGUGUUAUGAUAUACUCUUAUUAGCUUAGAAAAAUUUAAAAAGAUAGAAAAAUCGAAAUAAGGAUGUAAAAUAGAAAUAAAAAAGAUAAAAUAUUGGGCGCCAUUGGUUACCUAAAGGAACCAAACUUUCACAAAAUGAAAAUAUUAAAAGAAAAAUAGUAUUAAAUCAAAAUAAAACAAAAAACAUAGUCAAAUAAAAAAUAUACAUAAUAUACCAAAUAUUAUAAUGUAACUUACCUUAUUUACUCUAUAUUCAAUAUGCUAUACUCAGUCAAUUCUUUAUUGUUCUUACGAUUCAAGAGAGAAGGAAAGAAAUAAUAAAUUUAUAUUAUGUAAAUCAAACAUUAUUUAUUAAAAAACAAAAAAAUGAAUCUCUGAUCUCUCGGUGUUACAAAUUGAGACCAGAUUACCAAAUCAAAAAAAAAAUGAAACGAAAAAGUUCUACAAAUAUAAAAAAUGAUACCUUUACAAUCAUUGUCCUGGUUUCUUCUGGUUGUUGGUUGGUUUGUAAGUCCAAGACGCGAUUUCACUACGCGAAAAUCACUUCACAUUGUUAAUAGCUACAGCAACAGUACAUAAUGUUAUCCAUAGUUCAUUACAGAAGUUAUCAUAAAAAAAUUCAGCUUUGUACUCGAACAAAAAUAUUUUAAAGUUCAUUAAACGGGAUCAAAAUGAAAUAUAUAAGCAUACUUCAUGAUUUACUUGUAAUGUUAGACUUAGUAAUGCAAAAUGAAACUUCUAACUCCUACUUCCGGAUCUGACUGCAUAAAAAAACUAUUUAAUACCAAAAGUGGUAUGAAAUCAUUUCGGUGAUUCGCUUAAAAACAGCGAGAAAAUUGCCGGAGCUCACGCUACACACCAUCUUAUACGCCGGGCUGGGUCAACUCAGCCGGCCAGGAAACUGGUAACUACAUUUUGAAACACUCACUGGAACUCAAAACUAAACUUCCUUGAUGACAGAACCGAACUGCUUGAUGGCCUCCACGGAACUGACUUCUGGAACCUCUAACUCGAUCCUUCUAAACUUGGGUUCUCUCUUCCCAAAAAA